rnacentral:rRNA from 1 species
GACGAACGCUGGCGGCGUGCCUAAUACAUGCAAGUCGAACGCAGUGGGGACGGGUGAUUAACACGUGGGUAACCUCCCAUCAGAGGGGAUAACACUUGGAAACAGGUGCUAAACCGAUACUGAUGGAUGGACCCGCGGUGCAUUAGCUAGUUGGUGAGGUAACGUCUCACCAAGGCCACGAUGUAUAGCCGACCUUACAGGGUGAUCGGCCACAGUGGGACUGAGACACGGCCCAGACUCCUACGGUAGGCAGCAGUAGGGAAUCUACGGCAAUGGACGAAAGUCUGACCGGGCAACGCCGCGUGAGUGAAGAAGGUUUUCGGAUCGUAAAACUCUGUUGUUAGAGAAGCGGUAUCUAACCAGAAAGCCAAGGCUAACUACGUGCCAGCCGCCGCGGGAAUAC